rnacentral:rRNA from 1 species
GAUGAACGCUGGCGGCGUGCUUAACACAUGCAAGUCGAACGGAAAGGCUCCUGCUUGCUGGGGUCCUCGAGUGGCGAACGGGUGAGUAACACGUGGGUGAUCUGCCCUGCACUUCGGGAGAAGCCCGGGAAACUGGGUUUAAUAUCGGAUAGGACGAUGGUUUGGAUGCCAUUGUGGAAAGUUUUUUGGUGUGGGAUGAGUUCGCGGCCUAUCAGCUUGUUGGUGGGGUAAUGGCCUACCAAGGCGUCGACGGGUAGCCGGCCUGUGAGGGUGUACGGCCCCAUUGGGCCUGAGAAACGGGCCAGAGUGCUACGGGAGGCAGCAGUGGGAGAUAUUGCGCGAUGGGCCGAAGCCUGAUGGAGCGACGCCGCGUGGUGGAUGACGGCCGUCGGGUUGUAAACUCCUUUCGCGAGGAAAGAAGCGCAAGUGACGGUACCUAGAGAAGAAGCACCGGCUAACUACGUG